rnacentral:rRNA from 1 species
UACGAAGGGGGCUAGCGUUGCUCGGAUUGACUGGGCGUAAAGGGCGCGUAGGCGGUUUGCAUAGUCAGACGUGAAAUUCCUGGGCUUAACCUGGGGGCUGCGUUUGAUACAUGCAGGCUUGAGUUCGGAAGAGGGUCGUGGAAUUCCCAGUGUAGAGGUGAAAUUCGUAGAUAUUGGGAAGAACACCGGUGGCGAAGGCGGCGACCUGGUCCGAUACUGACGCUGAGGCGCGAAAGCGUGGGGAGCAACAGG